GAUCCUGGCUCAGGACGAACGCUGGCGGCGUGCCUAACACAUGCAAGUCGAGCGGAGACAUGUUGCGGAAGUUUUCGGAUGGAAGCGAUAUGUUUUAGCGGCGGACGGGUGAGUAACGCGUGAGCAACCCUUCCUUCACAGGGGAAUAACGCACCGAAAGGUGCACUAAUACCGCAUGAGACCACAGCUCUGCAUGGAGCGGUGGCUAAAGGAGCAAUCCGGUGAAGGGUGGGCUCGCG
rnacentral:rRNA from 1 species